AUUGAACGCUGGCGGCAGGCCUAACACAUGCACGUCGAGCGAGCGGCGGACGGGUGAGUAAUGUCUGGGAAACUGCCUGCUGGGGGGGGAUAACUACUGGAAACGGUAGCUAAUACCGCAUACCAUCAGAUGUGCCUGGAUGGGAUUAGCUAGUAGUGGGGGUAACGGCUCACCUAGGCGACGAUCCCUAGCUGGUCUGAGAGGAUGACCAGGCACACUGGAACGUGGAACCGGUCCAGACUCCUACGGGAGGCAGCAGUGGGAAAUAUUGAAAAAUGGGCGCAAGCCUGAUGCAGCCAUGCCGCGUGUGUGAAGAAGGCCUUCGGGUUGUAAAGCACUUGCAGCGGGGAGGCGUUACCCGCAGAAGAAGCACCGGCUAACUCCGUGCCAGCAGCCGCGGUAAUUC
rnacentral:rRNA from 1 species